AAUCAACGCUGGCGGCGUGCCUCAGACAUGCAAGUCGAACGAUUAAAGCUCUCUUCGGAGAGUGUAUAGAGUGGCGCACGGGUGAGUAACACGUAAGUAAUCUACCCUCGAGUGGGGAAUAACAACCGGAAACGGUUGCUAAUACCGCAUAAUGCAGCGGCACCGCAAGGUGACAGUUGUUAAAGAUUUAUCGCUUGAGGAGGAGCUUGCGGCAGAUUAGCUAGUUGGUAGGGUAACGGCUUACCAAGGCUACGAUCUGUAACCGGUCUAAGAGGACGGUCGGUCACACUGACACUGAAUAACGGGUCAGACUCCUACGGGAGGCAGCAGUCGGGAAUUUUGGGCAAUGGGCGAAAGCCUGACCCAGCAACGCCGCGUGAAGGAUGAAGUAUUUCGGUAUGUAAACUUCGAAAGAAUAGGAAGAAUUAAUGACGGUACUAUUUAUAAGGUCCGGUAACUACGUGCCAGCAGCCGCGGUAAGAUAGCGUACU
rnacentral:rRNA from 1 species